UGGGGAAUAUUNNNCAAUGGGGGGAACCCUGAUGCAGCCAUGCCGCGUGAAUGAAGAAGGCCUUCGGGUUGUAAAGUUCUUUCGGUGACGAGGAAGGUUGAUAGGUUAAUAGCCUAUCAAAUUGACGUUAAUCACAGAAGAAGCACCGGCUAACUCCGUGCCAGCAGCCGCGGUAAUACGGGGGGUGCGAGCGUUAAUCGGAAUAACUGGGCGUAAAGGGCACGCAGGCGGUGACUUAAGUGAGAUGUGAAAGCCCCGAGCUUAACUUGGGAAUUGCAUUUCAUACUGGGUCGCUAGAGUACUUUAGGGGGGGGUAGAAUUCCACGUGUAGCGGUGAAAUGCGUAGAGAUGUGGAGGAAUACCGAAGGCGAAGGCAGCCCCUUGGGAAUGUACUGACGCUCAUGUGCGAAAGCGUGGGGAGCAAACAGGAUUAGAUACCCUGGUAGUCCACGCUGUAAACGAUGUCGAUUUGGGGAUUGGGCUUUGAGCUUGGUGCCCGUAGCUAACGUGAUAAAUCGACCGCCUGGGGAGUACGGCCGCAAGGUUAA
rnacentral:rRNA from 1 species